CCCUGGCUCAGAUUGAACGCUGGCGGCAGGCCUAACACAUGCAAGUCGAGCGGAUGACAGGAGCUUGCUCCUGAAUUCAGCGGCGGACGGGUGAGUAAUGCCUAGGAAUCUGCCUGGUAGUGGGGGACAACGUUUCGAAAGGAACGCUAAUACCGCAUACGUCCUACGGGAGAAAGCAGGGGACCUUCGGGCCUUGCGCUAUCAGAUGAGCCUAGGUCGGAUUAGCUAGUUGGUGAGGUAAUGGCUCACCAAGGCGACGGAUCCGUAACUGGUCUGAGAGGAUGAUCAGUCACACUGGAACUGAGACACGGUCCAGACUCCUACGGGAGGCAGCAGUGGGGAAUAUUGGACAAUGGGCGAAAGCCUGAUCCAGCCAUGCCGCGUGUGUGAAGAAGGUCUUCGGAUUGUAAAGCACUUUAAGUUGGGAGGAAGGGCAUUAACCUAAUACGUUAGUGUUUUGACGUUACCGACAGAAUAAGCACCGGCUAA
rnacentral:rRNA from 1 species